GUAGUUUUGCUGUCCUGAGUUGCUUCUUUGGGCAACAGGACGGCUUGACUUGCAUAAUAUAUUAUAUACAGGAAGCUCUCUCAGAAUCAUUUGAUGGGCUGAUUGCUCUUUUUCUCACUGUCCUUGGUAGGAGACCUGAAGGCCCUCUUUACAACUGUCAACCAUGAGCUAGCUGGAGGGGAGAGAAAGAGAUGGGCUUUGUUGUUGGUGGUGUUAGCAUAGUUUGUCGUUUAAGUUAAAUAAUGAAGAGUAGUGCUGCUACUUACUAAGUGCAUUUGGUUUUGGCAAGUUUCGUUCCUCGAAGACCGCCAACCAAUUCAAUGCCAAUUGAAGGGGAAUCAUUUGACUGUGGACCGGUCAAAACUGUUCUUUUUUCAUUUAUUUUUUAUUUUUUUUUACGUUUUUAUUGAUUUUAUUCUAAAUUACGGUCGUAAAAUCAAACAAGAACAGAUUUUUUUUUUUUUUUUACACUUGGCAAUGGUUAGAUAGUUGAAGUAGUGGGGUUAGGAGGAAGGGGAUUCGAACUUAGGAACGUAGGUGGGCGUAGGGGUGGCAAUUGGGUAAGUUUGGACGGCUUACGAGCUGAUUAUGAAUAGACAAGUUUGUAAUAGGUCAAUAAUUGAUUAUUAGCCCAUUUAUAACGGUAGAUAAAUGGGUCAAUAAACUUACACCCAACCCGAUGAUGAAUAUUUUUAGACACAAAUUGUCUAAGUUAUUUUGAUUAUUGAAUACC